GUCAUACUUCCUCCGUUCCAAAAUUCUUGCCUUAGAUUUGUUUAGAUAUGAAUGUANNNNNUCACGUUUUAGUAUUUAGAUAUAUUUGUUUUUAGAUAAAAUAAGACAAGAAUUUUAGGACGGAGGGGUAUUUG
rfam:Hordeum vulgare subsp. vulgare, WGS project CAJW01000000 data, contig: morex_contig_1559170